rnacentral:rRNA from 1 species
UACCAGCAGCCCGAGUGGUAGGGACGAUUAUUGGGCCUAAAGCAUCCGUAGCCGGUUCUGCAAGUCCCCCGUUAAAUCCAGCUGCUCAACAGAUGGGCCGCGGAGGAUACUACAGAGCUAGGAGGCAGGAGAGGCAAGCGGUACUCAGUGGGUAGGGGUAAAAUCCGUUGAUCCAUUGAAGACCACCAGUGGCGAAGGCGGCUUGCCAGAAUGCGCUCGACGGUGAGGGAUGAAAGCUGGGGGAGCAAACCGG